rnacentral:rRNA from 1 species
UACGUAGGGUGCGAGCGUUGUCCGGAAUUAUUGGGCGUAAAGAGCUUGUAGGCGGUCUGUCGCGUCUGCUGUGAAAAUCCGGGGCUCAACCCCGGACUUGCAGUGGGUACGGGCAGACUAGAGGUGUGGUAGGGGAGACUGGAAUUCCUGGUGUAGCGGUGAAAUGCGGCAGAUAUCAGGAGGAACACCGAUGGCGAAGGC